rnacentral:rRNA from 1 species
GCGGCGUGCUUCAUACAUGCAAGUCGAACGAGAAGCAGGAGCUUGCUCCUGUGGAAAGUGGCGGACGGGUGAGUAACACGUAGGAAAUCUGCCUUUGGGCGGGGGACAACAGUUGGAAACGACUGCUAAUACCCCAUAUGAGCUUGGUUGCAAUACCAAUCUUGAAAACUCCGGUGCCUAAAGAUGAGCCUGCGUCUGAUUAGCUUGUUGGCGGGGUAAUGGCCCACCAAGGCGACGAUCAGUAGCUGGUUUGAGAGGAUGAUCAGCCAGAAUGGGACUGAGACACGGCCCAUACUCCUACGGGAGGCAGCAGUAGGGAAUUUUGCGCAAUGGGGGAAACCCUGUCGCAGCAACGCCGCGUGAAUGACGAAGCCCUUCGGGGUGUAAAGUUCUGUCAGUAGGGAAGAAUUUUGACUGUACCUACAAAGGAAGCACCGGCUAACUCCGUGCCAGCAGCCGCCGUAA